rnacentral:rRNA from 1 species
GACGAACGCUGGCGGCGUGCUUAACACAUGCAAGUCGAACGCUGAAGCCCAGCUUGCUGGGUGGAUGAGUGGCGAACGGGUGAGUAACACGCGAGUAACCUGCCCCCUUCUUUGGGAUAACGCCCGGAAACGGGUGCUAAUACUGGAUAUUCACUGGCCUUCGCAUGGGGGUUGGUGGAAAGGUUUUUUCUGGUGGGGGAUGGGCUCGCGGCCUAUCAGCUUGUUGGUGGGGUGAUGGCCUACCAAGGCUUUGACGGGUAGCCGGCCUGAGAGGGUGACCGGUCACAUUGGGACUGAGAUACGGCCCAGACUCCUACGGGAGGCAGCAGUGGGGAAUAUUGCACAAUGGGCGAAAGCCUGAUGCAGCGACGCCGCGUGAGGGAUGACGGCCUUCGGGUUGUAAACCUCUUUCGCUCAUGGUCAAGCCGCAGCUUUGGGUUGUGGUGAGGGUAGUGGGUAAAGAAGCGCCGGCUAACUACGUGCCAGCAGCCGCGGUAAUACGUAGGGCGCGAGCGUUGUCCGGAAUUAUUGGGCGUAAAGGGCUUGUAGGCGGUUGGUCGCGUCUGCCGUGAAAUCCUCUGGCUUAACUGGGGGCGUGCGGUGGGUACGGGCUGACUUGAGUGCGGUAGGGGAGACUGGAACUCCUGGUGUAGCGGUGGAAUGCGCAGAUAUCAGGAAGAACACCGGUGGCGAAGGCGGGUCUCUGGGCCGUUACUGACGCUGAGGAGCGAAAGCGUGGGGAGCGAACAGG